AUUUGGAGCAGCUCUUGUAGCAGGGAACAACACAUUUUGGAGCUGAUUCCCACUUUUGGAGCAAACAAUGUGGAGCUUUCACCUCAAAAAGUUUUAUACCAUUUCUUUAGGAGGUAGCCUGUGGGAAAAACUAUAGUUGUUGGUGGUGGAAAACUAUUUAAGGCACCAUACCUACAGGGACCUGGCCACUACAGAUAUUUAUUUAUUUAUUGAACAAUCAUACGCCAGUAACUCUCCAGAUGUCUCAAUUAACCUGUUAGGAGUACCGAUGGCGUCUUCGGUUUGUGUUUGAUGCAAAAAAUAUGUUUGGCUACUUUGUAGGGUUUGUAUCACGGUGAGGUA